UACAGAGGGCUCAAGCGUUGUUCGGAUUCAUUGGGCGUAAAGGGUGCGUAGGCGGCGCGGCAGGUCGGGUGUGAAAUCUCGGAGCUUAACUCCGAAACUGCAUUCGAUACUGCCGUGCUUGAGGACUGGAGAGGAGACUGGAAUUUACGGUGUAGCGGUGAAAUGCGUAGAUAUCGUAAGGAAGACCAGUGGCGAAGGCGGGUCUCUGGACAGUUCCUGACGCUGAGGCACGAAGGUCAGGGGAGCAAACGGG
rnacentral:rRNA from 1 species